rnacentral:rRNA from 1 species
GAGUUUGAUCAUGGCUCAGAUUGAACGCUGGCGGCAGGCCUAACACAUGCAAGUCGAACGGUAACAGGAAACAGCUUGCUGCUUCGCUGACGAGUGGCGGACGGGUGAGUAAUGUCUGGGAAACUGCCUGAUGGAGGGGGAUAACUACUGGAAACGGUAGCUAAUACCGCAUAACGUCGCAAGACCAAAGAGGGGGACCUUCGGGCCUCUUGCCAUCGGAUGUGCCCAGAUGGGAUUAGCUUGUUGGUGGGGUAACGGCUCACCAAGGCGACGAUCCCUAGCUGGUCUGAGAGGAUGACCAGCCACACUGGAACUGAGACACGGUCCAGACUCCUACGGGAGGCAGCAGUGGGGAAUAUUGCACAAUGGGCGCAAGCCUGAUGCAGCCAUGCCGCGUGUAUGAAGAAGGCCUUCGGGUUGUAAAGUACUUUCAGCGGGGAGGAAGGGAGUAAAGUUAAUACCUUUGCUCAUUGACGUUACCCGCAGAAGAAGCACCGGCUAACUCCGUGCCAGCAGCCGCGGUAAUACGGAGGGUGCAAGCGUUAAUCGGAAUUACUGGGCGUAAAGCGCACGCAGGCGGUUUGUUAAGUCAGAUGUGAAAUCCCCGGGCUCAACCUGGGAACUGCAUCUGAUACUGGCAAGCUUGAGUCUCGUAGAGGGGGGUAGAAUUCCAGGUGUAGCGGUGAAAUGCGUAGAGAUCUGGAGGAAUACCGGUGGCGAAGGCGGCCCCCUGGACGAAGACUGACGCUCAGGUGCGAAAGCGUGGGGAGCAAACAGGAUUAGAUACCCUGGUAGUCCACGCCGUAAACGAUGUCGACUUGGAGGUUGUGCCCUUGAGGCGUGGCUUCCGGAGCUAACGCGUUAAGUCGACCGCCUGGGGAGUACGGCCGCAAGGUUAAAACUCAAAUGAAUUGACGGGGGCCCGCACAAGCGGUGGAGCAUGUGGUUUAAUUCGAUGCAACGCGAAGAACCUUACCUGGUCUUGACAUCCACGGAAGUUUUCAGAGAUGAGAAUGUGCCUUCGGGAACCGUGAGACAGGUGCUGCAUGGCUGUCGUCAGCUCGUGUUGUGAAAUGUUGGGUUAAGUCCCGCAACGAGCGCAACCCUUAUCCUUUGUUGCCAGCGGUCCGGCCGGGAACUCAAAGGAGACUGCCAGUGAUAAACUGGAGGAAGGUGGGGAUGACGUCAAGUCAUCAUGGCCCUUACGACCAGGGCUACACACGUGCUACAAUGGCGCAUACAAAGAGAAGCGACCUCGCGAGAGCAAGCGGACCUCAUAAAGUGCGUCGUAGUCCGGAUUGGAGUCUGCAACUCGACUCCAUGAAGUCGGAAUCGCUAGUAAUCGUGGAUCAGAAUGCCACGGUGAAUACGUUCCCGGGCCUUGUACACACCGCCCGUCACACCAUGGGAGUGGGUUGCAAAAGAAGUAGGUAGCUUAACCUUCGGGAGGGCGCUUACCACUUUGUGAUUCAUGACUGGGGUGAAGUCGUAACAAGGUAACCGUAGGGGAACCUGCGGUUGGAUCACC